rnacentral:lncRNA from 1 species
CUUGGAGAUCUGUGCAAGUAGAUGGGUGAUAUAGGAUAACUUUGAGAUCUGUGCAAGCAGAUGGGUGAUAUAGGAUAAAGUGCUUUGAAAUUUAUAUAGGUAGAUGGAUGAUAGAUGAUCGAGAGCUUUGAGAUCUGUGUUGGUGGGUAGAUGACAAAGGAUAGAGCACUUUGAGAUCUAUGUGGCCAGAUGGAUGAUAGCAUACAUAGUGCUUUGAGAUCUCUACAAAUAGAUAGAUGACAAAGUAUAGAACGCUUUAAGAUUUAUGCAGGCGGAUGAAUGACAUAGGAUGGAGUACUUUAGAAUAUAUGCAAGUGACUGGAUGGUAAAGAAUGAAUUGCUUUGAGAUUUAUGCAGAUGAAUAGAUCACAAGUGGAGCGCUUUGAGAUUUAUGUAAGUGGCUGAGUUAUAGAGAACAAAGUACUUUAAGAUCUGUACAGAUGGAUGGAUAAUAGAAGAUUGAGUGCUUUGAGAUCUAUGCAGGUGGAUGCAUAAUAGAGGAUGGAAUGCUUUAAGAUCUGUAUAAAUAGAUAAAUUAUAAAGGAUGAAGGGCUUGAGACCACGUAAAAGCCACGAUCCAGCCUCUUUGGAUCAAGAAUAUUUUGGUCCUUUUCAUCAGUCCGUUAACGAUGUUAUGAUCCAUGUUGAUUGUCGAGCCAGAUUGUAAUGAAAAUGAAGUUUUGGAAGCUAAUUGAAAUGUUUAAACUUUAGGAUAAUUUUUCUUUAAAACUAUUAAAAUGG